rnacentral:rRNA from 1 species
AGAAUCAACGCUGGCGGCGUGCCUAACACAUGCAAGUCGCACGAGAAAGGGGAGCAAUCCCUGAGUACAGUGGCGCACGGGUGAGUAACACGUGAAUAAUCUACCUCCGAGUGGGGAAUAACUGAGAGAAAUCUUAGCUAAUACCGCAUAACACUUACGAGUCAAAGCAGCAAUGCGCUUGGAGAGGAGUUCGCGGCCGAUUAGUUAGUUGGCGGGGUAAUGGCCCACCAAGACUAUGAUCGGUA